GGCGUAUAUAAAAUACCGAAUGAUGUUUGAAAAACGAAGCGCUAGCCGUGAAAUUCAACGUGAAGGUUCAGUUAAUUUUAAUAUGGGCGCUUAUUAGAUAACCAUAUGGCGCUUCAUGGUCCUUUGUGUUUUGAAUUAUUAAUGGUUUGAGAACUCAUAUAUAAUAUUGAAAGAUAUACAAAGAUAUAUUUUGAUAAAUACUGGUAUGCUAAAAGGAAGUUAAAUUUCUCAUGCAGUCAGGAUGUUUUAAGCCUGCAUCAAACGAGAAUGAAGUGCUAGAGAGUUGGCAGUCACGUGACCUUGGUUAGCUGUUUUUUUAAUAUUUUCCCAACACUAUCAUGUAUUUAUUUAUUUAUUCAAGUCUGAAAACAGAAUUUUAGUCCGGAUCAAACGAGAAUGAAAGUACAUGAGAGUUGGCAGUCACGUGACCUUGGUUAGCUGUUUUAAAUACUUUCCCAACACUAUCAUGUAUUUAUUUAUUUAUUCAAGUCUGAAAACAGAAUUUUAGUCCGGAUCAAACGAGAAUGAAAGUACAUGAGAGUUGGCAGUCACGUGACCUUGGUUAGCUGUUUUAAAUACUUUCCCAACACUAUCAUGUAUUUAUUUAUUUAUUCAAGUCUGAAAACAGAAUUUUAGUCCGGAUCAAACGAGAAUGAAAGUACAUGAGAGUUGGCAGUCACGUGACCUUGGUUAGCUGUUUUAAAUACUUUCCCAACACUAUCAUGUAUUUAUUUAUUUAUUCAAGUCUGAAAACAGAAUUUUAGUCCGGAUCAAACGAGAAUGAAAGUACAUGAGAGUUGGCAGUCACGUGACCUUGGUUAGCUGUUUUAAAUACUUUCCCAACACUAUCAUGUAUUUAUUUAUUUAUUCAAGUCUGAAAACAGAAUUUUAGUCCGGAUCAAACGAGAAUGAAAGUACAUGAGAGUUGGCAGUCACGUGACCUUGGUUAGCUGUUUUAAAUACUUUCCCAACACUAUCAUGUAUUUAUUUAUUUAAGUCUGAAAACAGAAUUUUAGUCCUGCGUCAAACGAGAAUGAGAGUGCAUGAGAGUUGACAGUCACGUGACCUUGGUUAGCUGUUCUUAAAUCUGAAAUACUUUCCCAACACUAUCAUGUAUUUAUUUAUUUAAGUCUGAAAACAGAAUUUUAUUCCUGAUCAAACGAGAAUGAGAAUACAUGAGAGUUGGCAGUCACGUGACCUUGGUUAGCUGUUUAAAUACUUUCCCAACACUAUCAUGUAUUUAUUUAUUUAUUUAUUCAAGUCUGAAAACAGAAUUUUAGUCCGCAUCAAACGAGAAUGAGAGUGUAUGAGAGUUGGCAGUCACGUGACCUUGGUUAGCUGUUUUUUUAAUACUUUCCCAACACUAUCGUGUAUUUAUUUAUUUAUUUAUUCAAGUCUGAAAACAGAAUUUUAGUCCGCAUCAAACGAGAAUGAGAGUUGGCAGUCACGUGACCUUGGUUGGCUGUUUGUUAGCU